rnacentral:rRNA from 1 species
GAUGAACGCUGGCGGCGUGCCUAAUACAUGCAAGUCGAGCGAACAGAUGAGGAGCUUGCUCCUCUGACGUUAGCGGCGGACGGGUGAGUAACACGUGGAUAACCUACCUAUAAGACUGGGAUAACUUCGGGAAACCGGAGCUAAUACCGGAUAAUAUAUUGAACCGCAUGGUUCAAUAGUGAAAGACGGUUUCGCUGUCACUUAUAGAUGGAUCCGCGCCGCAUUAGCUAGUUGGUAAGGUAACGGCUUACCAAGGCAACGAUGCGUAGCCGACCUGAGAGGGUGAUCGGCCACACUGGAACUGAGACACGGUCCAGACUCCUACGGGAGGCAGCAGUAGGGAAUCUUCCGCAAUGGGCGAAAGCUUGACGGAGCAACGCCGCGUGAGUGAUGAAGGUCUUCGGAUCGUAAAACUCUGUUAUUAGGGAAGAACAAAUGUGUAAGUAACUAUGCACGUCUUGACGGUACCUAAUCAGAAAGCCACGGCUAACUACGUG